GCCCCCCCCUCAAAAAAAUUAUUAGUCACUAAGAGCGACUAAAGGCUACACAAGCGUUUUGUCGUUAUCGGAAAAUGUAUGGCCGAUAAGUUGUCAUUACUCAUUAGUCAGAAUGCGCGUAUACAUGAAACUGUUUUUUACAGUUUCAAUAUUAGUUUGUAAAUCUCUGAAUGGUAAAACUUGCCAAUACUCCAAUAAUACGUUUCAAAAAAGACAAAAAGCUUUAGUUUUGCAGGGUUAAGUUCUCAAACGUGUAAGGCACUAAUAAGAUGAAACUGAUCACGAAAUUAUUUGAAUAAACCACAGGGGGGGCGAUAUUCCUUUUGAGGGGGGGCGAAUCUCCUGGGGGGGCGACCUUUUUAAAAAUUAUAUCUUGCCCCCCCCAAAUAUGAGUUUGCCCCUCAAAUGCCCCCAAAUUCUGAGGCCUGGCGCCGCCACUGAACCGGCCCCUGAAGUUUAUGUAAAUCAGGAC